CUGUGGUCUAUAACAGUCCUUUCUCUUCUGCAUCUCUCUUGUCCUGGCAAUUUCUCCAUGGCAGCGCUUUAAAUUUCACUUGGUGCUUCUCAAGCUUUUCACAAUAUCUACUCUCAGCUCUUUUGAAAAUGAAAAGAUUAUCUAUGGUAAACUAAUUUUUUCACAAUGUCUAGACAACAAUGGGGAGUAGUGUGGGCAACAUUGCCAUUCUGCUCAAUCACAAAAGUUCUUCCAACCUAAUUCUAUAAGCUUCUGUUUGUCUCUUUUGUUCCACACUCUCCACUUCUCGAUACUUUCCCAGCUUAGUUCUGCCGAUUCAGCUAAAGUUCACACCUAAUCUCCAUCCACGAACGACGUUGUAAAAUGUUGGAUGGAAUCAACAUCCAUUUAUCCUUCUGGCGACUCCAACACGACCUAUUUCAGAGCCAUCGCUGUCUGCGGCGACACAAUCACACAUAGAAACAAUAGUACAGAGGAGCGCUCCAUUUUCGAUACGGUGUUUCAAUAAUUUGUUCUCCAGAGAGAUUUAAAAGAUUGAUGCAGAGCCGCUGGGAAGCGUGAUUACGCAAGGCUGCCGUCUCCGCCCUUUGGUUCACAAGGACGAUUUAAUAUUGCAGCCCUUCCAAGGCGAACAAAUAGACGCAAAGCUGAAGGAAGCUCAAUGAGUUACUUUCUAUUUUCUAAGCUACACAAAUUUAACUAUGACUAGCUGUUUUUGUGGCAAAGAAUUCUUUUAAGAACCCUAAAAAUAGUACAAGUGUGAUUUAAGCUUUUACUUGUAGUGAUUUUGAUGCUGUAGAAGACCUAGGAUUGUUGGAAUGGUGGCAAAAUGUUUGAUAAUAUGCCAGACCUGCCUAUGAUCACUGAUCUUAUCGAUCUAAUAUCUCCAUAUUCUACCACAACUGUAUGUUUAGUCAAUUGCUAUGUAUUCACAAAUGAAUUUGAGGUAUUAAUACUCAUGUUUAUUAACAAUAACAAUUUUGUAUGAAUGAAAAGCUUUGAGAGGAUAAUAAUUCUUAAUUCAAUAUUACACACACAAAAAAAAAAAAAAAAAAGCAAAAAGAGGAAUGUAUCUAUAAGUUUUUGUGGACAAUCGCACGGUUGAAGUCACAGUUCUGAUGCUCUACCUAUAGACAUGGAUGAACAUGAUUCUCCCUUUGAGGGUGAAUUAUUGUCUUUAACAAGAUAAGAUUAUUAACGAUUUUUAUGCUGGAACUAUGUUUGAUAAAAAAAGUGUCAUCAUUAUACGUGCAUGGAAGUCGGUUUUUUUCUUCAUCCAAAUUCCUCUCUUUGCGUCAUUGCUUCUCUUAUACCAAAUAUAAUUUUCGAUUAUAUCUCCUCAUCUUACUUGGAGUGUUGCUGCAAUUUUCAGGUAAUUCUUUUUUAACUCUUCUCUAUUCAUCUUCAAUUUUCUAUUUCCCCUUCAUCUUUUCUUCUUCCUGUGUUUGAAUCAGUUCGUAUUUGCUCAUAUGACGGAUAUGUUUCUAUGGGUUCAUGAAGUUUUGAUCUUUUUUUUUUUAUUAUGAAGAUAUGGGUCAAAAAGGGAUUGUUGUAAGCAAAGGAGAAAACGAAGAUAGUAGGGUUUCUAUUCUCCUUUAUUUCCCAAUACUAGGUUCACAUAGAGGAAUCAAAGGUAACACUCCAAUUUUCUUGCAGAGCUAAGUGGAUCACCUACUGUGUUCAAGUCAAUGAGAUACUAAAUGAUGCAGCCUUAUUAAAGCAGCUAAAAGGGAAAUAGAGGAACUACGCAUGAAACUUCAGAUGAUUGUCUUGUCUCUCAAAAUUCAUAUUCAUAAGUUGCAUAAAUAUAUCGAAUAUGGGAUGAAACCUCUUACAUAGGGAUCACAUUUCGAGGUGCUUGAGCAAGAGAUACUGAAACUCAAAAAUGACCUAUUGAAGAGCGAGAGAAGCUUGCCAUGUAAUUGGAGGAGGAGAGAAGAUCGAAGGAAGAACGAGAGCAAUGCAUCAUUGAGCAACAGAAAAAAAUUCAUUAUCUUAUAAUCUUGUAUCUGUCUCAGACUCUAAUGGGCAUGCCACACAGGUAAAAUAUGUGAAUUCAGCUGCUGUGAACUUCCUUAGACUAUCUUGUCUCUUUGAAUGGUGCUCUUUUGGCUGGUAACAUGUCAAUGUUAAGCUUUGUUUGAUCAUCUUGUAUGUGCCUAUCUCUCUUUUCGCUGAUGUUAUUAUCUAUGUAUAAAAAUCGUAUGUUUAUAUUUAUUUGAGUUGUGUUUUACCUAUGAAAUGUGCCUUUAAAGUUGAAAUCAUAUCACCAUAUAGCCAUACUAAAUAGUAUUAAACUUAUAGUUGGCUGGAAUUUUUUUAGAAGAAUAUUCAUUGGAAUAGAAAAGUUACUGCAAUGAUGAGGAGGAGUUAUAAUAAUGAUCACACAUCUGAAAAUAUAUGUACUGACAAAAAAGCUAGACGACAUGAGUUAUUUAGACUAAUACCACCCAAGAGAAAAAAUGUCUUUUUAGCUCGACAAUGAGCAAACAGAGCUGAAUUAAAAAGACGCCAUCUGCUCAACGACUCUGUAG